AACGCACCUUGCGCUCCUUGGUAUUCUGAGGAGCAUGCCUGUUUGAGUGUCAUUAAAUUCUCAACCCUUAUCCACUUUGUGCUGGAUAAUGGGCUUGGAUGUGGGGGUCUUUUGCUGGCUUCUUCACAGAUGGUCAGCUCCCCUGAAAUGCAUUAGCCGGUGCCCCGCGUGGACUGUCUAUUGGUGUGAUAAUUAUCUACGCUGUGGACAUCUACAAUCAUAUGGGUUUGCACUGCUUCUAACCGUCUGCUUAUUCAGACAAUACAUGACUAUUUGACCUCAAAUCAGGUAGGACUACCCGCUGAACUUAA
rnacentral:rRNA from 1 species